AUUGAACGCUGGCGGCAGGCCUAACACAUGCAAGUCGAGCGGCAGCGACUUAACUGAACCUUCGGGGAACGUUAAGGGCGGCGAGCGGCGGACGGGUGAGUAAUGCCUGGGAAUAUGCCCUGAUGUGGGGGAUAACUAUUGGAAACGAUAGCUAAUACCGCAUAAUCUCUUCGGAGCAAAGAGGGGGACCUUCGGGCCUCUCGCGUCAGGAUUAGCCCAGGUGGGAUUAGCUUGUUGGUGAGGUAAUGGCUCACCAAGGCAACGAUCCCUAGCUGGUCUGAGAGGAUGAUCAGCCACACUGGAACUGAGACACGGUCCAGACUCCUACGGGAGGCAGCAGUGGGGAAUAUUGCACAAUGGGGGAAACCCUGAUGCAGCCAUGCCGCGUGUGUGAAGAAGGCCUUCGGGUUGUAAAGCACUUUCAGUAGGGAGGAAGGUAGUGUAGUUAACACCUGCACUAUUUGACGUUACCUACAGAAGAGGCACCGGCUAACUCCGUGCCAGCAGCCGCGGUAAUACGGAGGGUGCGAGCGUUAAUCGGAAUUACUGGGCGUAAAGCGCAUGCAGGCGGCCUGUUAAGUCAGAUGUGAAAGCCCGGGGCUUAACCUCGGAAUUGCAUUUGAAACUGGCAGGCUAGAGUCUUGUAGAGGGGGGUAGAAUUUCAGGUGUAGCGGUGAAAUGCGUAGAGAUCUGAAGGAAUACCAGUGGCGAAGGCGGCCCCCUGGACAAAGACUGACGCUCAGAUGCGAAAGCGUGGGGAGCAAACAGG
rnacentral:rRNA from 1 species